rnacentral:lncRNA from 1 species
CAAAUAGAAAGAAAUUCAUGGAUAUUACAAGCUAAUUGUUUGCAAAACUCUUUGAAUAGUAUUGUGUCCACAUGCUAAAUACUGUUUUCACCCUUUCAGCAAUAUAACAAGGAAUGGACAGAGGAGUUGACUAUUGAUUAUGACUGAUACUGGUAAUACUGGAAUGAAUUAACCUACAUGCAGUGUCCAAUGACUCCAUGCCUGACAGUCCAUUUUUACAUGUACAUAAAAUGUAUGUUGACAGCCAAUGGUAAGUAUUAAUCUUCAUAAAUACAUGUAUAUACAAUGAUUGUAUGUGCAUCUCUGAGACUUACAUUUCACUGUUGUGUGGCUUCAUUACUGACCAGAGACUGAUAAGAAUUAGAUUAUCCUUUAUUUUAUCUUCAAAUAUUAUGUACUAGUAACUACAUAUAUGUACUCAAUGACUUGCAUUCAUUUAACUUGUAAUAAUUAUGAUGCAGCAUCCAACAAAAAGUAUGUAUUUUUUAGCUCACCUGGCCCAAAGAGCCAAAUGAGCUUUUCUCAACACUUGGCGUCCGUCGUCUGUAAACUUUUACAGAAAUCUUCUCCUCUGAAACUACUGGGCCAAAUUUCACCAAACUUGGCCACAAUUAUCAUUCGGGUAUCUAGUUUAAAAAAUGUGUCCAAUGACCCAGCCAACCAACUAAGAUGGCCGCCAUGGCUAAAAAUAGAACAUAGGGGUAAAAUGUAGAUUUUGGCUUAUAUCUCUGAAUCCGAAGCCUUUAGAGCAAAUCUGACAUGAGGUAAAUGUGUUUAUAAGGUCAAGAUCUAUCUGCCCUGAAAUUUUCAGAUGAAUCGGACAACUGGUUGUUUGAUUGCUUCCCCUAAUUGGUAAUUUUGAGGAAAUUUUGCCGUUUUUAUACGACAGCAAAAAUUGAAAAUUUUUUGGGUGUAAUGUAUAUUAGUAUCACAAUGGCGUCGUCUUCUUUGUCAUCGUCCGAAGACAUUUGGUUUUUGCACUCUAACUUUAGUAAAAGUUAAUAGAAAUCUAUGAAAUUUAAACACAAGGUUUAUGACCAUAAAAGGAAGUUUUGGAUUGAUUUGGGUGUUUUGGUCCCAACAGUUUACGAAUUAGGGGCCAAAAAGGGCCAAAAUAAGCAUUUUUCUUAGAUUUCGCUCAAUAACUUUAGUAUAAGAAAACAGAAAUCUAUGAAAUUUUAACAUAAGGACUAUAUGACCACAAAAGAAAGGUUGGAAUUGAUUUUGGGAGUUUUGGUCCCAACGAAUUAGGAUUUCCAGUAAUACAUAUUUUUGGUACAGUCUCAGAAAUAGUACCUAUCAGUCUAUGCAAAAGUAGAGGUGUACAUUUUUUUGUAUAUGAAUAGAAUUUAAUUGUUGCAGAUUAAACAUUUUUAGAAAUUUAAUUUUAAAAAUAAGGAGAUGUGGUAGGAUUACCAAUAAGAAAACCAUCAUGGUCAUCCACAUUCAAAAUGAAGGGGAAAUAACCACUUUUAGGCCACUUUUAUUCUGACCUUCAACAAUGAACAGAAAAAUACUGCUUAGUCAGCUGUUUAUGAUCCUGACAACAGUUCAAUCUAUAAAACUAGUAAUAGUCAUUUUGCUAGUGAUGUUCACAGUGACACUUAUUGGUUAUAAAAAAAAUCAAUUGUUUUCUCUGUUGCCACUAGCUGUUGCAGUCUGUGCCAACCUGUUUUAGUGUCUGUCUGACUGAAAGAGAAAUUUGAUUCUUUUUCUCUUGUUAUUACAAAUGUAUGUCAACCGAAAAAUCAAAAAAUUUCUAUCUGACCGAAUUAUCUGAUUCACUGCUUUUGGCGAAUAUUUUUUACAAUAGUUGCCUGUGUGAAUUUGAUUUACAUUGUAUAUCUAAAUGAAUUUUCAUUUGUAUUGCCUUUUUUUUUUUAUUUGGAAAACAUUAAUCAGGUUCAGGGCUUAUAUUUAUAAUAAUUAAUGGAAUUUAAAUUUUCAGAAUUGCACAUUUGUUGCUCCCAAGAUGUAAGAGGAUUUGAAGUUAUACAAUGAAAUGAAUGAAUUGAUUAGAAAUACAUGUAGAUGAGACCCUAUAGCUACAGAACAUGUAACUGGUAUGUAUUGGUUAUGUGGUAUUUGUAGUCAAAAUGGUAAUUUUUUGGUAUGACAAAAAUGCUGAAAUCUGAAAAUUUAAAAAGGAGUCUUGAAACACAAACUGACAAAAUAAAAAAAAACAUUUUCAAUCAACAGAUCUGAUCAAGGGAAAAAAUAAUCUGCUAUAUAUACAUAUAUGGAAUAGGCAUGUAGUUACAUUUAUCAUAUGUUUAGUAGUAAAUACAGUAGUUUUUUGCAUAUUUGAUAAAUAGUCUGCUGUUUAAUCAAUAUCGCAUACCCUUUAUCACACCCCUACUUUUUUUUUUUUUUUUUUACAUAAAGUCAGUUUUUAUUUAUGUAAGCUCAAGAAAAAUUUUCCUUAAAAUAGGUCCAAGUUAAUAGACGGUCAUUCGGGCUUGACGCAAUUUAUUGAAUGACGUCAUUGUGUGGGAUGAUUGCCAAUGAGACAACUAUCCACAAAAGACCAAAAUGACACAGACAUUAACAACUAUAGGUCACCGUACGGCCUUCAACAAUGAGCAAAGCCUACCGCAUAGUCAGCUAUAAAAGGCCCCAAUAAGACAAUGUAAAACAAUUCAAACGAGAAAACUAACAGCCUUAUUUAUGUAAAAAAAAAUGAACGAAAAACAAAUAUAUAUGCAACACAUAAACAAACGACUUUUAUUCAGUUUGUGAGUUAAUCGACCUGGUUUACACAUCAAUAACCUCUAGAAAAAAAAUGUGUUUAAUCCUAUAAUAUACCCAUGUGUUAUGCUUGUAGUUUUAGGAAAUUAGAAUAUCAAAAUAGCUUGACUAAGAUUAAAAAAAUUACUGAUAUUAUAAAUUAGGUAUUUUUUGUCUUGUCUGCAACUGAUUGAAUGGUCAUAAUGGUGUAGUACAUGUCUGUCUGGGCAUGGUUCAUCUUACCAUGACCUGAUAUUCAUUAUGAUGGUUCAUUGGUCAAUAUUAAGUUUCAUAUUUUAGUCUGUUUGUUGUAUACUGUAUAUAAUCAAUUAAGAUAUUGAUCAGCUAUAUUUGGUGUAAGCAAUGAUUGUAAGAGGCUAAGACAUGUAAGAAGGGGGCUUGAAAAUAAUGAGUUGUGUUAUUAUAGGCACUAAGUAUACUUACAUAUACAGGUUAUGUGUAGUACACCUACAUGAAUAGAGUUUGUUUUCAUUUAAGAAGUUUAUUAUAAAAAUUUAACAUGGUAUGAUUGCCAAUGAGACAACUAUUCACUAGAGUCCAAAUGACUGAAUACUGCUAACUAUAAAUGAUCAUAUGUACAGCUUUCACCAAUAAGAAAACUGAUACAGAAUAGCGAACUAUAAAAUGUCCUGAAACAGGGAUUGUAAAAACCUGUGUUUUAUGAGUAUUGCCCACCCCGGUGGGAAAUACUGGGAAAACCCAGGUUUUACUGUCAAGGUUUUACUGGGUAAAUCACCAUAAAAUCACCAAUUGAUCAUGUCAGAGCUUAAAAUACAAUACAGUUUUCUUCUAAUUAUAAGUUUGGUAAAUUAUUGGAGAUUAAAUUGAUGUUAUCUUUUUUGCUGGACUACAAUACAGAAAUAAACAUUACAUGCUGAUUUUAUUGUAUUACAGGAACUGUAGGAAGUAUUCCAAGAGUAUGAUUGCUAAGUAUGCAUUACAGGAUUUUAUCAUUGGAGCAACAUCCAAGGAUAAUAAGUGGAAAUGUAUGAAGGAAUCCUUGGGUACAAAUAUCAAUUAUAUGCAGAAGUGGACUCUUAAACAUUAUUAACAGACAUGGUAGUCAAGAAAUUUAUACCAUUACCAACUGGAAUUAACUAUUGUGUAUAUUUUUUCAACCAUAAGUACUUUCAGAAUACAAUACAAUUCAAAUUCAGAUUAUUGUGUCAACAUACAAAAAUGUACAAGUUACAUUUAAAAAAA